GGCUGCGAACUUCUCGUUGGUUGACCAGAUCGUGGAUCGGCUUCUGGGGCCGAAGUCCGCAGGUUCGAGUCCUGCCGCGGAUG
rnacentral:tRNA from 1 species